UACGAAGGGGGCUAGCGUUGCUCGGAAUCACUGGGCGUAAAGCGCACGUAGGCGGGUCUUUAAGUCAGGGGUGAAAUCCCGGAGCUCAACUCCGGAACUGCCUUUGAUACUGGAGAUCUUGAGUCCGGGAGAGGUGAGUGGAACUCCGAGUGUAGAGGUGAAAUUCGUAGAUAUUCGGGAAGAACACCAGUGGCGAAGGCGGCUCACUGGCCCGGGUGA
rnacentral:rRNA from 1 species